AUGCCGGGCUCCGAGGAGCCCCCUCCCUCCGGCUCCGCUCACCGCGCCCGGCUCCGCUCCGCUUCCGUUGCGGCCGCCCCUGCCCGGCUCCGGCUCCGCUGCCGCCGCCGCCGCCGUCCCGCGCGGCCCCGCAGGCAGCACCGCCCCCGGACCGCCCCUCGCCCGUCCCCUGCCCGCGGGCGGCCCCGGCCCCGGGGCGGUGCGGUGCCGUGCGGCCCGAGGAGGGGAGCGGCCGCUUCGGCCCCCGCUCCUGCGGGCGGUGGGUGCGCUGCGCUGCGGGGUCCCCUCGCAGAUUGCCCGGAAUCCUUCUAUUCCGCUGGUUUUUGGAUGUGUAUGGAUUUCCUCUUACCCAGAUGGAUGGAACUACUGCUCAGCAAACACUUGGUAUUGACUGAGGUACUUGCCAGCCACAGUGCAUCUUCUGAAGCUGAACAAGCAACUUUGCCAGCCCAGAUAGCAAUCUUGGUCACGCAUCAGCAGAGUUGAUUCCAAGGGCAUGGGAAGGGGACCAAGGCUUUAAACUGCACUGCAUGCUGUUGUGAGCUCAGUUUUUUCACAUGGGAACCCUGAGGGGUGCUGACCAUGACUAUCCUUCCCUUUCCCACUCAACAGAUUGUAGUCUGACAGCUGUGGGAAUCAAGAAUGGAAAGCAGAUCAUUUUUCCUAAAUUCUGAUGUUGCAAGAGAGGCCCUAGUCUAUGUUUUACACCAGAGGGAGUGUUGGACCACAGCCAUUAAAGUUCCUGCACCUUAGUUCUGUAAAAGGGGGACAAAUAUGUUUUCCUUGAGUAAAAAAAAAUAUUCUAGGUGCAUAGCACCCAGAUAUGCAGGACCCUAAUCCUAGACACAGUUUCAGGGGGCUGUUACGAAACCACUAACAAAAUAAGCAAGCAUCACAUUGAAGUUGCUCUUUAGGGUGCUGAACUUGAGAGAAAGCAGUGCUGCUAGAUGGACUGUGAAGUUACAGGUGGGUAUAUAGUCACACAGUGACUAGAGCAGAGAGAGCCUCCAUAUUGAUGGAGGUCUAUCAGAUCUGAAGAGACAAGAAGUUCUGCUUCCUUUGCCACUCAUCCUUUCUGUUGUAUCCCCACUAUAUCCAACAGUGGGAUUGUAAGGCCAAAGUUUAUCACCAUGAUAUCUGAUCAUGGUGAUAUCACACUAGGAUAUUUGAUGCUCUUAGCUUGGGAAAUAAUUUAAAACUGCCAUCUGUAGCUAAGAUCAUCGCUAACCUGGAGCCCAAAUGUGUUUGAUUCUAUACAAAGUCUACAGUGAUGUAUGAACAUGUCUUUUCUGCUCAUUUAUCCCUCCCAGCUGUGCUAUUUUAUAUGUUCAAAAUGUUCUUUCAUUAAUUUAAUCUUAUUCUGGGAGACACCGACGCAUUUCCAAGAGGGCACUUAAUUUCAUUAUCUUUACUGAAAACCUAAGCGCAGCAUGAACACCUAAGUAGAAAAAUUAAAUUACCGGAUGCAAGUCACAGGAGGGAAAUG
rnacentral:lncRNA from 1 species